GACAUAGGCCUCGAGCGUUAGGCGGAAUCACUGGGCUUAAAGCGUGUGUAGGCGGGCCCGUAAGUGUCUUGUGAAAUCCCACGGCUCAACCGUGGAACUGCUGGGCAUACUGCGGGUCUUGGGCCAACUAGGGGCAGCCGGAACAAGCGGUGGAGCGGUGAAAUGCGUAGAUAUCGGAAGGAACACCGGUGGCGAAAGCGGCGCGCUGGACCUCUUCUGACGCUGAGGCGCGAAAGCCAGGGGAGCAAACGGG
rnacentral:rRNA from 1 species